AUUGAACGCUGGCGGCAGGCCUAACACAUGCAAGUCGAACGAGCGGCGGACGGGUGAGUAAUGUCUGGGAAACUGCCCGAUGGAGGGGGAUAACUACUGGAAACGGUAGCUAAUACCGCAUACUAUCGGAUGUGCCCAGAUGGGAUUAGCUAGUAGGUGGGGUAACGGCUCACCUAGGCGACGAUCCCUAGCUGGUCUGAGAGGAUGACCAGCCACACUGGGACUGAGACACGGACCAGGCUCCUACGGGAGGCAGCAGUGGGGAAUAUUGCACAAUGGGCGCAAGCCUGAUGCAGCCAUGCCGCGUGUAUGAAGAAGGCCUUCGGGUUGUAAAGUACUUUCAGCGGGGAGGCGUUACUCGCAGAAGAAGCACCGGCUAACUCCGUGCCAGCAGCCGCGGUAAUUC
rnacentral:rRNA from 1 species